rnacentral:rRNA from 1 species
UACGAAGGGGGCUAGCGUUGCUCGGAAUCACUGGGCGUAAAGCGCACGUAGGCGGCUUAUUAAGUCAGGGGUGAAAUCCUGGAGCUCAACUCCAGAACUGCCUUUGAUACUGAUGAGCUUGAGUUCGGGAGAGGUGAGUGGAACUGCGAGUGUAGAGGUGAAAUUCGUAGAUAUUCGCAAGAACACCAGUGGCGAAGGCGGCUCACUGGCCCGAUACUGACGCUGAGGCACGAAAGCGUGGGGAGCAAACAGG